GUUUUACAAAGGACGCUGAUGUGCCUAGGGAUUAAAUGUCAGGUUUCAAAGUGUCACAGCUGAUAAGGGUAACCAAAUGUAAAAUCAGAGGGGCUUGGUCUGAUUGUUUUACUCUGCUCUAGACAGGUUCACCCAGAAGAACCAAGGACAAAAGUGAUUAAGAAGGAAAUGCUUGCAAAAGAAACCUGUAAAGAAACAGAAAAGCAACAGAGACAAGCAGUAAACCAGGCAACGGUGCAAUUUUAGGGGACUCUUCCUCACCACUGGACCGUGAAAUAUACUUUGUGGACCACCAUCAGAAGAGAAGGCCAUGUGAAGACAGAGUCACACAGAUAUCACGUGAAGGUGGAGGCAGAGAUGUAUUUGUAAGCCCGGGAACUCCAAGGGCUGCUAGUAAAUAACAGAGACUAGAAGACGAAGCAGUAUUGUUUGCAGGUCUUAAAGGAAAUAUAGAUAUGCUAAAACUUGAUUUUGGACUUCACUUCUAGAGCUUGGAAACAGUUCAUGUUGUACUAAGGCUCUGAGUAUUUGGUACUUAUUUUUAGAGCACUAGAAAAUUAUAUAGCAUGUACAUCCCAAUAAAUAGAUGAUUUACAUUUUUGUAACUUGAGAAUUAAUCAGUCAGUAGUUAAUUUACUAUUAACACUCAACUAUUUAUAAUUCUACACUCUCCGAUAUCUAUUUCUCUAGUGUGACAUAUCUUUCUUCCUGCAAUAUCUUAUUAGAAUUUAUCCAUAUGUGCGCUUGAGAUUCCACUAACAAUAGCUAUUUUGAUGGUUAUCUGAGCUGUCCAGAGAGCAAAGAAUUUUGGGGAAGUGAAUUUGAUUGUUCUCCUCUAUACCCAUUGUAUGAUGUGCUUCUAUAUACCAAGGUACUUAUUUUCUUUCCAUUUAUGUACAGCUGGUGAUUGAAUACAGGGUCUUGGGCAUGCUAGACACGUGCUCUACCAGUAAGUUACGCCACAGUGCCAUUCAAACAUUUUUAAUGUAUCCCACAGGAAGAUAUACACUUCACGUUGUAAAGCAAUGCCCACACUUGUAUGCAUUUAUAUGUUGAUAAAAGUCAUGUGCCUGUAUUAGCUUUAAAACAUGUAAAUAUUUUCUAUUCUUUUGUAUUUUUAAAAUGAUGGU